rnacentral:tRNA from 1 species
CAGAGCAUAGCUAAACUAGAAUAGCGUCUCCCUUACACUGAGAAGAUAUCCGUGCAAAUCGGAUUGCCCUGA